GACGAACGCUGGCGGCGUGCCUAAUACAUGCAAGUAGAACGCUGAAGGAGGAGCUUGCUUCUCUGGAUGAGUUGCGAACGGGUGAGUAACGCGUAGGUAACCUGCCUGGUAGCGGGGGAUAACUAUUGGAAACGAUAGCUAACACCGCAUAACAGUAGAUAUCGCAUGAUAUCUACUUGAAAGGUGCAAUUGCAUCACUACCAGAUGGACCUGCGUUGUAUUAGCUAGUUGGUGAGGUAACGGCUCACCAAGGCGACGAUACAUAGCCGACCUGAGAGGGUGAUCGGCCACACUGGGACUGAGACACGGCCCAGACUCCUACGGGAGGCAGCAGUAGGGAAUCUUCGGCAAUGGACGGAAGUCUGACCGAGCAACGCCGCGUGAGUGAAGAAGGUUUUCGGAUCGUAAAGCUCUGUUGUAAGAGAAGAACGAGUGUGAGAGUGGAAAGUUCACACUGUGACGGUAUCUUACCAGAAAGGGACGGCUAACUACGUG
rnacentral:rRNA from 1 species